rnacentral:rRNA from 1 species
GACGAACGCUGGCGGCGCGCUUAACACAUGCCAGUCGAACGAUGACGACCGAGCUUGCUCGGUCUGAUUAGUGGCGAACGGGUGAGUAACACGUGAGCAACCUGCCCUUCACUCUGGGAUAACCUCGGGAAAUCGGGGCUAAUACCGGAUAUGAGCUCCUGUCGCAUGGCGGGUGUUGGAAAGUUUUUCGGUGAAGGAUGGGCUCGCGGCCUAUCAGUUUGUUGGUGAGGUAGUGGCUCACCAAGGCGAUGACGGGUAGCCGGCCUGAGAGGGCGACCGGCCACACUGGGACUGAGACACGGCCCAGACUCCUACGGGAGGCAGCAGUGGGGAAUAUUGCACAAUGGGCGAAAGCCUGAUGCAGCGACGCCGCGUGAGGGAUGACGGCCUUCGGGUUGUAAACCUCUUUCAGCAGGGAAGAAGCGAAAGUGACGGUACCUGCAGAAGAAGCGCCGGCUAACUACGUG